GAUGAACGCUGGCGGCGUGCCUAAUACAUGCAAGUCGAGCGAACAGAUAAGGAGCUUGCUCCUUUGACGUUAGCGGCGGACGGGUGAGUAACACGUGGGUAACCUACCUAUAAGACUGGGAUAACUUCGGGAAACCGGAGCUAAUACCGGAUAAUAUUUCGAACCGCAUGGUUCGAUAGUGAACGAUGGUUUUGCUAUCACUUAUAGAUGGACCCGCGCCGUAUUAGCUAGUUGGUAAGGUAACGGCUUACCAAGGCGACGAUACGUAGCCGACCUGAGAGGGUGAUCGGCCACACUGGAACUGAGACACGGUCCAGACUCCUACGGGAGGCAGCAGUAGGGAAUCUUCCGCAAUGGGCGAAAGCCUGACGGAGCAACGCCGCGUGAGUGAUGAAGGUCUUCGGAUCGUAAAACUCUGUUAUUAGGGAAGAACAUACGUGUAAGUAACUGUGCACGUCUUGACGGUACCUAAUCAGAAAGCCACGGCUAACUACGUG
rnacentral:rRNA from 1 species